GUGGGGAAUAUUGGACAAUGGGCGAAAGCCUGAUCCAGCCAUGCCGCGUGUGUGAAGAAGGUCUUCGGAUUGUAAAGCACUUUAAGUUGGGAGGAAGGGCAGUAAGUUAAUACCUUGCUGUUUUGACGUUACCAACAGAAUAAGCACCGGCUAACUUCGUGCCAGCAGCCGCGGUAAUACGAAGGGUGCAAGCGUUAAUCGGAAUUACUGGGCGUAAGCGCGCGUAGGUGGUUCAGCAAGUUGAAGGUGAAAUCCCCGGGCUCAACCUGGGAACUGCCUCCAAAACUACUGAGCUAGAGUACGGUAGAGGGUAGUGGAAUUUCCUGUGUAGCGGUGAAAUGCGUAGAUAUAGGAAGGAACACCAGUGGCGAAGGCGACUACCUGGACUGAUACUGACACUGAGGUGCGAAAGCGUGGGGAGCAAACAGGAUUAGAAACCCGGGUAGUCC
rnacentral:rRNA from 1 species